UGAACUACUGUAGACUCAUAUUUUACUUAUUGAUAGAUAUAAAAUUUACGUAGCAUUUAGAUUUCAUACAAUAUUUAGAUUCAUAUGAUACUCUAAUAAGGUGACGAUUUUACUUUAGCGUGUUGUGAAUAAAGAUGUUUUGUUGAUUUAAUUCUUAUGAAAUUAGUUGACUGUUGAUUGAUACUGUGGAUUGAGAUUGGUUGGAUUUGUGAAAAUCAUAAAGGUAAAUAUAUGUCCAAUUUAAGGGAAGGUUAUGUCCAAUUUUUUCGGGGAGUUUUGUUGACCGAUUCGUGUAGUAUAUAUGCUGAUUAGUAUUAAUAAUAUAUUCUCUUUAUAGGUAUGAUGAGCGUAGCAGAGGUAGAUCGAGUGGGUCUCAUGGUCGUGGUAGAGCGAAGGUUUCCACCGAAUCUCAAGGACUGUUCAGUCAUCGCCCUCUACCCCCGACUACCCCAUCGACCCUUGUGACGUCACAGGUGGGUCCAGCGGACCAGCAGUUCAUCAUGGUCCUAAACUCGAACUAUGUGCCUCCUUCUACAACACCCCUCUGCCGAUCCAGUGAUAGAUACCGCAGUGGGUGAUUCCUCCAGUGCCCCCAAGCAAGAUGCCCCACCACCACCGCCUGUCAUUCGGCUGAGGAUUUGGCCCGAUGGCAUGCAGGCGUUUACACUAAACAACAAUGCUUGCACAUAGGAGAUCUCUGAAGUUAUUAAGUCAAUGUACGACCACCUGUGGCCCAGGUAUACACAGAUCCUGGAUAAGACCAGAGAGCGAUGGUUUCAGAAGUGGGUGGUAAAAACCCAAUAAUGUUGAAUUAAUUAACUAUAUUUGAACUGUAUUUUAUCCUGACUAACUAAUGUUGUUGAAUCAAUUUGUGCCGCUAAAUCAAUUUGUGCCGUUGAAAUUCAUAUGGGAUGCGAAACAUAAUCUCAUGAUCAGAAAGAUCUAUGACCACCAAGCAGUUAAACAGAUUCAGUAGAUGAUGAGCGUCGUUCGUCAGAGGCGUAACCACCUAAUGACCUAAAUCCAUCCAGCCAUCAAGAAGGAAUUGGAGGCCUAUUUUAGAGAUGAUGAGGGUUUCAAGCAUCGCCGUCUAACAAACGUCGCUAACAGGGCUUCUCCCAGGUCGUCGAAGUAUACGGAUGGAUCGAUGACCUUCAUAAAGAUGAAGAGCAGACUGUCUAAGUCGUUGGAUUGUGAGGCGACACUGGCGGAGACCUUCAAGUAUACACAUACUUUGAAGGCCAACAAGGAUAUUGAUGCGCAGUCUACGCCUAUUAUGAGGAUUACAGGCAGAGGUUGGAGGCUGCAACCCAGCAGUCUCAGCCGCCUAUGCAAAUGACGAAGCUGGCUCCGAGACCUCAGUGGUAGAUUUUGAUAAGGUUUGGCGCGAGACCACCUCUGAAUCCCACAAGAAUCGCUGCUUCAGGUUGGAGUUGUUCUUCGCAAGUGGUCUCUGCUCCUCCGUAUUGGUGAUUUUUUCUGCCUCUGCAUCUGUCUCUGCCUCUGCCACCAGCCCUGUCAUUCCCCAGGAAGUUAUCGACUUGAGGGAGGAGGUGCAGAAGCUAUCACAUAAGCUUUAUUAACAAGCGGAGCAGUCUGAGCAGAAGUACAAUGACCAUCUUGUACGCGUGGGAGGAGUCGUUUCCAUCAGCUCGAAACUAACGGAGAAGCUGGAGCAGCUAAAUUGUUUGCGAGAGCAGUUGGAAAUGUACAACCAGCAGCGGCACACUGGAGGCAGCGGAGCUACUGGUUUCUGCGGCAAUGCUACUGAUGGGCACCGACGUCAGCACCUACUCCGCCGCCUCCACAGGGGGACCUCGACGACGGUGAUGGUUACCGGGAUCUGUAGGGUUUAGGGAUUUUUUUUUUUGUUUGUCUACUUCAUUGUAUUCUACUUCUGUGAUAUUUUAUUA